rnacentral:rRNA from 1 species
AAUCUUCCGCAAUGGACGCAAGUCUGACGGAGCAACGCCGCGUGAACGAUGAAGGUUUNCGGAUCNUNAAGUUCUGUUGUUAGGGNCGAAUAGGUAUCGUUGGAAUAGGGCGAUACUGUGACGGUACCGUAGGAGAACGCCACGGCUAAAUACGUGCCCGCAGCCGCGGUAAUACGUAGGUGGCAAGCGUUGUCCGGAAUUAUUGGGCGUAAAGCGCGCGCAGGCGGUCUUUUAAGUCUGAUGUGAAAUCUUGCGGCUUAACCGUAAGCGGUCAUUGGAAACUGGGAGACUUGAGUACAGAAGAGGAGAGUGGAAUUCCACGUGUAGCGGUGAAAUGCGUAGAGAUGUGGAGGAACACCAGUGGCGAAGGCGACUCUCUGGUCUGUGACUGACGCUGAGGCGCGAAAGCGUGGGGUGCAAACAG